rnacentral:rRNA from 1 species
AUUGAACGCUGGCGGCAGGCCUAACACAUGCAAGUCGAGCGGUAACACAGGGAGCUUGCUCUCGGGUGACGAGCGGCGGACGGGUGAGUAAUGUCUGGGAAACUGCCUGAUGGAGGGGGAUAACUACUGGAAACGGUAGCUAAUACCGCAUAACGUCGCAAGACCAAAGAGGGGGACCUUCGGGCCUCUUGCCAUCAGAUGUGCCCAGAUGGGAUUAGCUAGUAGGUGGGGUAACGGCUCACCUAGGCGACGAUCCCUAGCUGGCUUGAGAGGAUGACCAGCCACACUGGAACAGAGACGAGGUCCAGACUCCUACGGGAGGCAGCAGUGGGGAAUAUUGCACAAUGGGCGCAAGCCUGAUGCAGCCAUGCCGCGUGUAUGAAGAAGGCCUUCGGGUUGUAAAGUACUUUCAGCGGGGAGGAAGGUGUUGAGGUUAAUAACCUCAGCAAUUGACGUUACCCGCAGAAGAAGCACCGGCUAACUCCGUGCCAGCCGCCGCAGUAA